rnacentral:lncRNA from 1 species
CAUCAACACUCCUGCUUCAUGGGAGGAGAGAGACGAAGCCAGCAACAGAUCGGCCUAUUCAACUCAGCAUCAGGAGAGAACAGAACCACCUGGGGUGUGGGGUCUCCAACCGUGUCGGGCGAGGACUCAGAGUUGGCAGCAGUCACUGCCAAAGGCAGGAGGAGAUAACCAGUUAGCAGGCCCUGUCACAAGAUCAGCAACGCAUGAAAGACAAAAUGCUUCCCUGCGGCAGGAAGAGCCGACGCUUCCCUGCAGCAGGAAGAGCCGAUGACACACUGCACUUAAAGUAUUCCUCCAAGCCCCACCUCAUUCUUCCCGGAUCCUCUAGCCUUGGAGCACAGCCUCCAACCCUUCACUGAGCAUUUUCAGGAGUACAAUCUCAGGCGACUACCCCAAUCCUGAAGAGAGGCUGCCUGCCCCCCUUUGACAGAUGAGGAAACUGAGGCCCACGGUGGGGAAAUGGAUGGCAGGAACUUGCACUGC